rnacentral:rRNA from 1 species
UGCGUAGGCGGUCUUUUAAGUCCGAUGUGAAAGCCCUGGGCUCAACCUGGGAAUGGCAUUGGAUACUGGAAGGCUAGAGUACGGUAGAGGAGGGUGGAAUUCCCGGUGUAGCGGUGAAAUGCGUAGAGAUCGGGAGGAACAUCAGUGGCGAAGGCGGCCCUCUGGACCAGUACUGACGCUGAGGCACGAAAGCGUGGGGAGCAAACA